AUUGAACGCUGGCGGCAGGCCUAACACAUGCAAGUCGAACGAGUGGCGGACGGGUGAGUAAUGUCUGGGAACCUGCCUGAUGGAGGGGGAUAACUACUGGAAACGGUAGCUAAUACCGCAUACCAUCAGCAGUGCCCAGAUGGGAUUAGCUGGUAGGUGGGGUAAAGGCUCACCUAGGCGACGAUCCCUAGCUGGUCUGAGAGGAUGACCAGCAAAACUGUAACUAAGACGCGGUCCAGACUCCUAAGGGAGGCAGGAGGGGGGAAUAUUGCACAAGGGGCGCAAGCCUGAUGCAGCCAUGCCGCGUGUAUGAAGAAGGCCUUCGGGAUGUAAAGUACUGUCAGCGGGGAGGCGUUACCCGCAGAAGAAGCACCGGCUAACUCCGUGCCAGCAGCCGCGGUAAUAC
rnacentral:rRNA from 1 species